AGAAAGAUGAAGUGAUGUUAAUUUGGAAAGGUGUGAGAUUUGAGGAGGAACUUCACCUUGAAAGUUACAUGAAGACAAGUCAAGAUGUGUGAGAUUCCGAAACCCACCAAACUUCGAAUGAAAAUGAGUGCCAAAGAAAUCAUUGUAAGAAAGGCUGAGUGAUUGUAGGUGAGAAAGAUGAAAAAGAGUACUAUUAGGAGAAAUAUUACCUUGAAGACUUUCACAGCCAAGGUUGAGACCAAUCACAUGACCAGAGACAGUAUCACAGGUGACACCAUGCCAUGAACAACAAUUUGUCCCAUUUUUCCAUGUUGCAGUUUUCUGAGGUUGUUCCUGACAAGCAUAGUUUGUAUAUGUAGUCAAAGAGGACUUAAAUUGAAUCAAAUCAUUGCUAUCUUGAGGAUUACAUAAAAAAUUAGAAGAAGAAGUUGAGAAGGAUGGAAAAAUGAAGAGCAAAAUAUGGACAUACAGAAUAAACAACCUCAUGGUGGUGAAGUUAUUUUGAUUGAUGAAUUCAAAUUUUGUGAGAAGUGUUUUAUACUAAUUUUCUUUGACUUUUGGAAGUUCUUCAAAGAUUGAACUUGUCUCAAAAUUUCUUUAAUUUCAUAUCUCUAGUGUUUGCUUUUAUUUGACCGGAUCACGUAGCUUAUAUUUUUGAAAAUAGUAUAAUAAUACUCUUUCAAACAUGUAUGCUAUUGUUAGUAGCUGUCAGAUUCAAUGCCAACAAAUCUAUAAAAGCAGUCAACAAAAGCGGCUCACCACAGAAUUCAACUGGCCUUAUCUAUAUAUCAAUCCAAAUUUCUUCAUAAUUAAUAUUUUCUAAAGCUAAAAUGUAAACUUAACUACAUUAAUGCUAAAUGUAAAACUAAACUCUUAAUAGCCUCCUUCAAGCUUAAGCAUGAUAUAUGUUAAAAUAAAGAACAUGUGGUUUGAUGCAAUGUGUAUAGCGCUGUGAUUGUCAAAAUAAAGAACAUGUGGUUUGAUAUGUUCAACCUUUAAGUACUGAAGUAGUUAAAGGAGCCGAUCACAAGUAGCUGAAGACAAUGCUCGAUACUCUGCCUCAUACGAGGACCUUGAUACAGUAGCUUGUUUCAUUGGAUGCUGCAAUAUCAAUGAGGUACCUCUAAAGAAGCAAUGACCAGAUAUUGAUCUUCUACUGUCCAAAGCAACCUGUCCAGUCAUGUAAUGGCCCAAUCUCAGGCCAUGACCGGGCCACAGGCUAACACUAACUCAUCAUAUAGUUAGUCUCGCAAGCCUAAGACACUGUAACACAUAUACUUAUUAUAUACAUACUUAUUGAAAUUUAACAGUGUCUCAUCUAUUUUCAUAACAUAGUUAAUUGAGUCAUUCCAAAGUAAAUUUCGAUUUUUAAUCCCGUCCUUUUUCUAACGGAUUCAGGUUUCAUUCCAAAUCAAUGUAUGUACAGGAAGUUACGGACAUUUUACUCACUGGGUCUACACGAGUUUAAGGGUUCAAAUCUCCCAUUUUCUCAAUUUCUUACUAAAUCCAUGAUUUCCAUGAAUUUAACCUAACUUCCAUUAACCUUAACAAAAUUAUAAGUAAACACAAGCAGGAUUGUAUUAAUAUUCUAACUCUAUCCCUAAUUUCUAUGUUCAUCAAAUAUCUCAAAUUGUCCUUAAUUCUAACCUAAUUUCAUGGAUUCUCUAUGAAAUUCAUCAUAAUCAUACGUUGCAUAUACAAUCAGCCCUUCAUUGCUACCCAUAAGGUUCAUUCCCAAUUCAUAACACUAACCCAAAAUUAAAACUUAAUAAGAAUUCGCCUUUGAUUCUUUGAAAAUAGAUUCUGGCUUAUGAGGGUUUGUAGAGAGAAAGAGUGAAGAAAAAUUGUUUUUUUUUCAACUCAUGAAUUUUUCUUAAAUACUUUCCAAAUUAAUUUACCAUCUUGCCCUUGUUACUACUAACAAAAUUCCAAUGCUAUCCUUACUUACUCUAAUCAUUUCUAUCACGUUUUCAUGUCUCAUAUCUCAACUUAAUUUAUUCUCAAUCCUCUAAUUAGUUCUUAAUACACUUGCAAAUGAGUACUAAUUAGUAUCUUAAUAACUGCAAAUAUGCCUUGUCCUGGACUAUUUUCAAGUACUUUAUGACUCUACAAGGAACAUUGAAGUGUGUUACGGUGGGUGCAUGAAUGAACCGGCUCAAUUGUUUUGUUGUUCUUAUAAUUGAGUAUUAGGCCUAACUCAUCCUUACAAAACCGGCUUGUAAGGUGAGAUUGUCCUCACUUAUAAGCACAUAUCGAGGUCAUCUCGCAAUCGACCUGGGACUUCUUAACAGUUGUAAAGGUAAUGUCAGGUCUAGUUGUGUUCAAAUACACUGAUUUUCUCACCAUUCUGCAUAAGGCUUUCCUGAAUCACUAUGAAGCUUGAUGAAAGUGUCAAGUGGAGUACUUGCAGUCUUUGGUCCUGAAUCUUAAAGAAGAUCAAGGGAAUACUUCUCUGAGAGAUAGCUAUUCCUGAUUUUGAAUGUGUAACUUCCAAUCCAAGAAAGUGCUUCAACUGUCCCAAAUUUUUUAUUUUAAAAGCUGCAUCAAGUAUAUCUUUGAUUAUGUCGCAUAACCAUUUUAUCUCAAGGAAAUUUCAAACUUUCUGCUCAAUGAUUCUCAUUCAAGGGAAAGAUCCUAUCCCAAAGUUGUUUAUGAUAAUCUACAUAUAUUUAGUGCUUUCAAUAGCAUUAAUCUUCGGUUAAAAUGCAAAUCCUAAUGUGAUGUGAUGAAAGCCUUCACUGUGCUCAAUUGAAUGAAUGAAAUUUGCAUGAGUUUGUGAUCAGAAUGAUUCUCCUUGGUCAUAGAUCGCAAACUCAGUGUGAUCUAAUAACAGUUUGAGACGUUGAGCUUAUUAGAGCUCCAUAGAAGAGUUGAAAGAGUAACUGUUUCAUUAAGAAAAUAAGUGAAAUAUUCAAGAUAUUAAAAUGAUAAGUAGAAAAUGGGGUGAAACUGGCAUUGUUUCAUUAAGAAUCUAGAACAACUUUCCGAGACAAGACAAAGGAGUAAAAAACAAGCAAAGCAUGUAAUCAUUUGUAACAAAAACAAAUGGCUUCUUAGCCGCACAAGAAUAUUCAUCAAGUUUGGCGUGGAAAGACCCAAAAACCUUUCAUUGAGUCAAUAUCCUGAGAGCCGAUACCCUAAUCAAACAGUUGUAGAUUGCAAUAUGCAAAGAUAAGUGUAUGGUACAACAAAUGAAUGGUUAACCUAAAAUGCUUCUUUUUGGCUUCUUACAAGAUUUACUUGCUCACACAGUUGCAACACAAAAUCAAGCAUACAAGAUAUAUAUAGCAACAAACAAAGAGGAAACAACAUGCACUUUUAUUUAUUAAUAACACUGCCUAAAUAAAGCAUAGUACAUUCACAAUACAUUCAUGCAAGCAAACUCAAUAAAACUAACACGGAAGAGAAAGUAAUCACAACAAUAAAACCACCACAUUUGCACCAUCGAUCUAAUUCCUGGUUGAAACAUUAGUUCUCAACACUCUUGUCCUCCUUGCCACUCUUUGCUUGGGCUAACCUCUAGCCAUCAUCACAAGCCAUCUAGGCUUUCCGAUUAGAUCCUGGUUGAACCAUUAGUUCUCUUCACUCCCUAAGGUGUUGGCUGAAGGUGGAGAAUGUUGCUUAGGUCCGCAUUUCUUUGACAAGGGAAAUCCACAUAACCCCGAGUUUCCUACAUAGGAGUCAUUUGAAAAUGUAUUGAACUGCUUACCUUGAGGUAUUUCUCCCAUUAGAUGGUUAUGGGAAAGGUUCAACACUUCAAGACCAUUCAGAUUGGUUAAUUCUGCAGGAAUCACACCAGUUAAUAUAUUUGAGGAAAGAUCCAAUGAUUCCAAGCUUGACAAGUUUCCUAUGGAUUGGGGAAUAGAACCGGUGAGUCUGUUAUGGGAAAGGUUAAGCCCAUGGAGUGCCUGAAGCUCUCCAAUAACAUUUGGAAUAGUGCCAUAAAAUUUGUUCUCUUGUAGAUCCAAAACUUGAAGGGAUGAUACAUUAGCAAGACAUUGUGGAAUGUUACCUGUCAAUUUGUUGUGUGCCAAGUUGAGCAAUAUAAGCGAACUUUUAUUGCAAAUUGACAAAGAGAUGCCACCAGCUAGUAAGUUAAAACUAAGAUCAAGGCCCUGUAGGUUUUGCCACUGAUUCCUUGUGAAUUGGUCCAUUGAUUCGAACAUGUUAUGAGAGAGGCCCAAAGAUUGUAAUGAAUCUAUGUUGAGCAACCAAUUAGGCAAUCUUCCAAAAAGUUUAUUGUCGGACAAAUCAAGAUAUCUCAAACCAGGGAAUUUUCCUGAUGAUAAUUUUGAAUAUCCGAUCAAACCGACAGAAGACAGUUCCAAUGUUGAUAGGAUAGAAAAGUUGUAAUUGACAGUAGAUUCAAAGUUUAGUGAUAAUUGACUAUUACGUGAAAGAGACAAAGUAUCCAAUUUUUGAAGUUUGGAGAAGUGCUGAAAAUUGACAACACCACUCAAGUUGUUUGAUGAAAGACAUAGUGUAGCUAGGUUUGCAAAGUUGAAAAUAGAUUCUGGAAUAUCUCCUUGUAGUUUGUUGCUGCAUAGUUUAAGAUAAUACAAAGAAUAUGAUGAAAUGACACUUAUAUUUCCUGUAAAUUGAUUAUUUGAUAGAUCCAACAUUCCUAAAGAUGGUAAAGAUAAACACCACGAAGGAAUUUUUCCACUUAGUAAGUUGUUAUUCAAAAAUAAAUAACCUAAGUUUUGGAACCCUGAUAUUUCCUCAGGUAGAGGACCCUUUAAUUUAUUAUUAGAAAAGUCUAAGUAAUCAAGUUGAGAUAACCUAAACAAUGAAGGUGGAAUUUGCCCUUCUAAUCUAUUAUAACCCAGACGGAGUUCUUGUAAUUUGGUUAGUCCGUCAAACACAUCUGGAAUUUGACCACUAAAUGAAUUGGAAGACAGGUCUAAAUUGAUAAGAUGUUGAAGGUUUGAAAGUGAUUUUGGCAACUGGCCAUCAAUUUUGUUACUACUCAAAUCUAACUUUUGAAAUCUAUUUGAUUUGGGAAAUACAUCCGGGAUUUGACCACUUAUGAACAAAUUAUCUUUGAGAGACAAAGAAGUUAGAUUUUGUAGGGUUAAAAGUGAGGAUGGGAUUGAACCAUUAAGUCUGUUAUCAAUGAGACUUAAGGAUGUAAGAUAUGUGAGGUUAGAGAAAGAAAGAGGAAUUGGCCCUGUGAAUGAACAAUAUGAAAGAUCCAAGAUUCUAAGAAAAGUGCUACAACUUAAAUUUGGAAGUUGGCCUUCAAGGUAGUCAUUUUUUGAUAAAUCUAACUCUUGAAGACUCGGUAAACAAAGAAUGUUGUUUUUCCAAUUUCCACUUAUUCCUGAUCUUUGAAGAUUAAGAUUAGUCAAAGAGGAAGAUUGAUUGAAUAUCAAAUUCAACGAGUUUGGAUGGAUUGAAGACAUAUUUGUUUCAUCCAAAAUUAACUCUUCCAAAAUUGUUGCAUUUUGCACAAGGCUUUUCAAAGUGGUUUCUUUCCAACUUAACUGACCAUUUCUAGAAAGAUGAAGUGAUAUUAAUUUGGAAAGGUGUGAGAUUUGAGGAGGAACUUCACCUUGAAAGUUACAUGAAGACAAGUCAAGAUGUGUAAGAUUCUGAAAUCCACCAAACUUAGAAUGAAAAUGAGUGCCAAAGAAAUCAUUGUAAGAAAGGUUGAGUGAUUGUAGGUGAGAAAGCUGAAAAAGGGUACUAUUAGAAUAAAUAUUACCUUGAAGACUUUCACAUCCAAGGUCGAGACCAAUCACAUUAGCAGAGACAGUAUCACAGGUGACACCAUGCCAUGAACAACAAUUUGUCCCAUUUUUCCAUGUUGAUGUUUUUUGAGGUUGUUCCUGACAAGCAUAGUUUGUAUAUGUAGUGAAUGAGGACUUGAAUUGAAGCAAGGCAUAGCUAUCUUCAGGAUGACAUAAGAAAUUAGAAGAAGAUAAAGAAAAUGAUGGAAAAUUGAAGAGCAAAAUAUGCAAAUACAGAAGAAACAACCUCAUGGUGGUGAAGUUAUUUUAAUUGAAUUCAAAUAUUUUGUGAGAAGGGUUAAAAGUUUAUUGCAUGAAAUAAUAGGAAGACAGCAUUAAUAUAUAUAUAUAUAUAUGUCACGACCCAAUCUCGGAUCAUGACCGGCGCACAAGCUAACACUACCUCAUCAUAUCGUAAGCCCGUGCAAGCCUAAUACACUAGCUAUAAUCUAUACACUAUAACAAAUAUACUUAUUAAAAUAUAUAGUUACUGAAAUUAUAGCUCGACAGGGAGGAUCCCUGGUCCUACGUAUCCCUUAACAAUUAGGGAAUCAGAGCCACGUAGUUCUCUAAGUGUUGAUUAACUAUCAACAAAGUAUAUAUAAAAAAACUAUCUCAUUUCAUUCUAUACACAUAGACCACAUUAUCUCUUCGUUGUGGUGAACGGAUACCUAUACCACAUUAUCUCUUCGUUGUGGCGAACGAAUACCACAUUAUCUCUUCGUUGUGGCGAACGGAUACCACAUUAUCUCUUUGUGGUGGCAAACGGAUACCUAUACCACAUUAUCUCUUCGUUGUGGCGAACGGCUAUACCACAUUAUCUCUUCAUUGUGGCGAACGGUUAUACCACAUUAUCUCUUCGUUGUGGCGAACGGAUACCUAUACCACAUUAUCUCUUCGUUGUGGCGAACGGCUAUACCACAUUAUCUCUUCGUUGUGGCGAACGAAUACCACCUUAUCUCUUCGUGGUGGCGAACGAAUAUCUACUUAAAAUAUACUAUGAACAAUUGUUCAUAGGCUGCAAACGGCUAAUUUUAUAUUCACAAAAAUGUGUCAAAAUAUACUUUAAAACAAAUUGCAUAACUUAAAUCAAUUCGCGGUAUCGUAACAACUUCUAUAAAGCCACAAUUUAUUUAUUUUUACUACUUUGCACCACCAAAAUCAAAUCUUUAAAGUAAAUAAAAUAAUGAAAUGAGUUUCACUUUUUAAGAAAAUUUGUUUCUCUCAUAAAAAUAAUAACAUAGAAAACUUUGCCGCAAGAUAAAUUNNNNNNNNNNNNNNACUCACAAAAAUAUGUAAUUAUUCUCGAACCACAUGUUCAUUCUUAUCUUUUCUUUAGUUAUAAAUUAAAAGGAAGCCAUGCUCAUUGGGAAAAAGUAUCUAUAAAUAUUCUUCUAAUUCUCUAUUCAUUUUAAAAUGCGGAAUUUUACCUCCUCUAUUUUAUAAUUUGUUGGAUUUUUCCCACCACCAAAUUUCUGCACAAAAUCUGCUUCUGAGCCUCAAGUUCAAAGUUUUGCACAUAACUCAAUUUGGAUCAAUAAUUCACCAAACUGGUACCGAAAUAACUGUAAUCAAUUUAGUUACAGAGAGAGAUUAAUUACACUAAAUUUGGAGUUACAGAGAGAGAUUAAUUACCGUUUUAGUGAAUGUCUGUUCAAAUGAAUUAUCGUAUGAAACUACUACUGGUUUUUUCGUCAUGCUUCUCACCCUGUAGUUCAUUUUUUAAUACUAUUUACAUGUAUGGAAAGAUAAAGAAAUUACCCUUGUUGGCGUUUCAAUUUCGUCGAAUUUGGAGUUACGAUGCGUUCGGUAGACGAUGUUGAAUUUGAAGAUCACAAGUAGAUUUCUGCAGAAUUAGUAAUUGGACAGACCUUCACUAAAACGGUAAUUAAUAUCUCUCUGUAACUCCAAAUUUAUUGGGGUUUGAUUCUGUGGAAAUCUAACUCGAUUACGGUCGUUUCGGUAUCAGUUUUGUGAAUUAUUUAUCCAAAUUGAGUUUUGUGCGAAGCUUUGAACUUGAGGCUCAGAAGCAGAUUUUGUGCAGAAUUUUGGUGGGGGGCAAAAUCCAACAAAUUAUAAAAUAGGGGGGGUAAAAUUCCGCAUUUUAAAAUAUGAGGGUAAAAUUCCGUAUUUUUCAAAACAUGAGGGUAAAACUGCAUUUCCAUACAUGUAAAUAGUAUUAAAAAAUGCCAACAAAUCUAUGAAAGCGGUUCACCACAUAAUUCAUCCGACCUUAUCUAUAUAUCAAUCCCAAGCAACAUACAUGUCCAGUCAAGUCAACAUCAAAGUAUCCUGCUGCUGAUGCACUGUCAAGAAUGUAAAUGAGAUAAGAUAUUAAAUAUCAUCAUAUAGAUAUCUAUCUAUGAAGAUAAAAAUUGGUGAUUAGAAUUCACAAACAAGUUUUUAUAGAUAUAUAAUGAGAUUUUCUUUUGUCACUGUAUCAAUUUCCCGCGCACCCUACAAGUUUCCGUUUUUACCAUUCCACUACUUAAGUAUUAGAUGUUAUAAAAACGAGAAAUUUGAGGAAAAAACACCCUACAUAAAAUUCAAGAUUUUAAACGUCAGCUACUAAAGUAGCCGAUAGAAUCCGCUACUUAAGUAGUGGAUUUUGUAGGGCAUGGGUAAGGUAGCAUUUGAUAUUUUGUUUCAUCUGAUUUUUAUUACUUGAGUGAUUUUGUUGCUUAUUUUCUGUGACUUAGUAUUUAUCAUUAAUUACAAAUGAUUAAUAUUCACAAUGCCUAACACCUGAUAUGCAAUUGUUGUGGCAGCAUAUCAAUCAUCAAAAAGGGAAUCAGGGCUUUGCUCUCAGUUCUAAUCAAAUAGUUAUUGGCAAGGUCUUUCUGAGCAUUUCUUGAUUACACAUUUAAUGUCACAUAAGCAAUUUAUUGGUUAGCUAACAACAAAGGUGGUUCGGUAUCUUCAUAUUCAUAUAGCAUCAAGAGUUUCUAUGAUAUGUCAUGUAAAUUGAUUCAAUGUAAAUUGACAUGUCAUGUAAAUUGCUCUAUUUUACAACUUACCAACUAUCAUUCUUAUUCAAUCUCACCUAUUUCUCAACUUACGAAUGAUCAUUCUGUUUGCGACUGAUUUUUAUUUAAAACAUUCAUGCAAUAAUGUUUGCUGUGACAGAUGACAUUUUUGUUAUAUCUUCCUGUAACUAAGGCGCGACAAUGCUUCUAUGUACUGAACAUAUAAAUGAUGAUGCAUGUGUGUGAGGUAAAAACAAAAUGGUAAAAACAAAAUUUUGAUGUCAAUGCAAAACUAGUGUACACCAUGGAUAGAACUAUUAUGUAUCAUUGGCUUCAUACAACUCGUGUUGUAGCACAAUACAGUCACUGUACAAACAUACAACAACCUGAAUUAAAACUAGCUAGAUCAAAUAAGAGUGACAACAUCGUCACACUCAAAUCAAGCUAAUUUUGAACAGUAGGUAAAAACUAACAUAGUAGCGAAAAUAAUGACAACAAUAAAACUACGACAUUGGCACCAUUUGAUUGAUCGUUGAACCAUUAGUCCUCCUCACUCUAGUCCUCCUCCUGUUCAUUCUUCUCGUAGGCUGACCACCAAAUAUCAUCACAAGCCAUCUUGGCUUUCCAAUUAAAAACACAAAAUAUCCAAUUCCUAUUCCAAUCACAAAUCUACAUCCAUAUCCAAUUGCCACUGGUAUCCAUCCAAAUCCAAAUUUCUCUUCACUCCAAAAGUUGUUGGCUGAAGGUGGAGAAUGUUGUUCCAGUCCACAUUUCUCGGUCAAGGGAAAUCCACAUAAUCCUAUGUUUCCUUCAUAGGAAUCAUUUGAAAAUGUAUUGAACUGCUUACCUCGAGGAAUUUCUCCCAUUAGAUGGUUAUGGGAAAGAUUCAAGACUUCAAGAUUGUUAAGAUUGGUUAACUCUGCAGGAACCACACCAGUGAGUAUAUUUGAGGAAAGAUCCAAUGAUUCCAUGUUUAACAAGUUUCCUAUGGAUUGGGGAAUAGGACCUGUGAGCCUGUUAUGGGAAAGGUUAAGCCCUUUGAGUGCGUGAAGCUCUCCAAUAACAUUUAGAAUCUCUCCUUGAAACAUGUUUUGAGAUAAAUCAAUAUUCGCAAAGGCUAUUGGAAUUUUCACCAUCACAAUGUUGUUUCCUUUCACUGUAAUAGUCACAGAAUCAUAGUAUGUCAUGUCACCUACUUCCAUCCUUUGCAUGUAUUGCGAGCUACUAACCUCUACAACUUGAAUAACAUUUUUCAUGGCAUCAAAACUUUGUAUGUAAUCUUUUGGUAGCGGGCCACUGAAGUUAUUGCAUGAAAUAUCAAAAAUAAUUAAACUAGGAAAUGGAUUCUUGAUAUUUAUAUUAGCAACUGGACCAUACAACCUAUUCUCUCGCAAAACCAAUACUUCCAAAUUUUGCAUAGUUUGAAGCCAUUAUGGAAAAUGGCCUUCUAGUUUGUUGCCACCAAGAUUUAAUGCCUCCAAGUAUUCGCAGUUUGACAAAGAUUUAGGCAAAACGCCUUCUAAUAGGUUUCCAUUGAGAUUCUGUGUACGAAGGUCACAAUUCUUUGAAAAGUUACUUGGUAAAGUGCCAUAGAAUUUGUUCAUUUGUAGAUCCAAGACUUGAAGGGAUGAUAAUUUGGCAAGACAUUGCGGAAUGAUUCCUUUCAAAUUGUUGUGUGCCAAGUUGAGCAAUUCAAGUGAACUUUUAUUGCAAAUUGACAAAGAGAUGUCACCAGCUAGCAAGUUAAAACUAAGAUCAAGGUCGAUUAGGUUGUGCCAAUGAUUCCUUGUGAAUUGGUCCAUUGAUGUGAACAAGUUCUGAGAGAGGCCCAAAUAUUCUAAUGAAUCUAUUUCUAGCAACCAAUUGGGCACUCUUCCAAAAAUUUUGUUGUCGGACAAAUCAAGAUAUGUCAAACUAGGGAAUUUUCCUGAGGAUAAUUUUGAAAAUCCAAUAAAACCAGCAGAAGACAAUUCCAAUGUUGAUAGGAUAGAGAAAUUGUAAUUAACAUUGGAUUCAAAGUUUAGUGAUAAUUGACUAUUAUAUGAAAGAGACAAAGAAUCCAAUUUUUGAAGUUUGGAAAAGUCUUGAAAAUUGACAACACCACUCAAGUUGUUUGAUGAUAGACAUAGUAUAGUUAGGUUUGCAAGGUUGAAAAUAGAUUCCGGAAUUUCACCUUGUAGCUUGUUGCUGCAUAGGUUUAGAUUCUGCAAAGAAUAUGAUGAGAUUGCACUUAUAUUUCCUGUAAAUUGAUUAGUUGAUACAUCCAACACACUCAAAGAUGGUAAAGAUAAACACCAUGAAGGAAUUUUUCCACUUAGUAAGUUGUUAUUUAAUGCUAAAAAACCUAAUUUUUGGAACCCUGUUAUUUUGUUUGGUAGAAGAUCCUUCAAUUUAUUAUGAGAACAAUCUAAGUAAUCAAGUUGAAACAAGCUAAACAAUGAAGGUGGGAUUUGUCCUUCUAAUCUAUUAUAAUAUAGAUCGAGUUCUUGUAAUUUGGUUAAUCCGUCGAACACAUUUGGAAUUUGACCUCUAAAUGAAUUCAAUGAAAGGUCCAACUUAAUAAGAUGUUGAAGGUUUGAAAGUGAUGUUGGCAACUCACCUCCAAUUUUGUUACUGCUCAAAUCUAAUUCUUGAAAUCUGUUUGAUUCCGGAAAUACAUUUGGGAUUUGACCACCUGUGAACAUAUUAUCAUUGAGUGACAAAAACGUUAGACGCGAAAGGGUUAAAAGUGAUGAUGGGAUUGAACCAUUAAGGUUAUUCUCCAUGAGACUUAAGGAAGUAAGAUAUGUUAGGUUAGAUAUAGAAAGAGGAAUUGGCCCUUCAAAUAAACAAUAUGAAAGAUCCAAGAUUCUAAGAAAAGUGUUACGACUCAGAUUUGGAAGUUGGCCUUCAAGGUAGUCAUUUUGUGACAUAUAUAGCUGUUGAAUACUUGGCAAAUAAAGAAUGUUAUUUUUCCAAUUUCCACUUAAUGCUGUUCCUUUAAGACUAAGACUAAUCAAAGAGGAAGAUUGAUUAAAGAUCAAAUUCAACAAGUUUGGAUUGAUUGAAGACAUAUUUGUUUCAUCCAAAAAUAACUCUUCUAAAAUUGUUGCAUUUUGCACAAGGCUUUUCAAAGUGGUUUCUUUCCAACUUAACUCAAUAUUUUGAGAAAGAUGAAGUGAUGUUAAUUUGGAAAGGUGUGAUAUUUGAGGUGGAACUUCACCUUGAAAGUUACUUAAAGACAAGUCAAGAUUUGUGAGACUCUUAAAUCCACCAAACUGACAAUGCAACUUUGAAUUGAUGAAAUUAUUGUUUGAUAGGUUGAGUGAUUUAAGGUGAGCAAGAAGAAAAAGAGUACUAUUAGGAUAAAUUUUACCAUAAAGACUUUCACAGCCAAGGUUGAGACCAAUCACAUGACCAGAGACAGU
rnacentral:lncRNA from 1 species